UAUGGCUACACCACGUUGAAACACCGGUUUCUGUGCGAUCACCGAAGUUAAGUAACGUCGAACCAGGUAAUUACUUAGAUGGGUGACCGAUUGGAAAUACCAGGUGUUGUAAG